GGGGGUUUAGCUCAGCUGGGAGAGCACCUGCUUUGCAAGCAGGGGGUCGUCGNACCUGCUUUGCAAGCAGGGGGUCGUCGGUUCGAUCCCGUCAACCUCCACCA
rnacentral:tRNA from 1 species